rnacentral:rRNA from 1 species
AUUGAACGCUGGCGGCAGGCUUAACACAUGCAAGUCGAGCGCGCGGCGGACGGGUGUGUAAUGUCUGGGAAACUGCCUGAUGGAGGGGGAUAACUACUGGACACGGUAUCUAAUACCGCAUACCAUCAGAUGUGCCCAGAUGGGAUUAGCGAGUAGGUGGGGUAAUGGCUCACCUAGGCGACGAUCCCUAGCUGGUCUGAGAGGAUGACCAGCCACACUGGAACUGAGACACGGUCCAGACUCCUACGGGAGGCAGCAGUGGGGAAUAUUGCACAAGGGGCGCAAGCCUGAUGCAGCCAUGCCGCGUGUGUGAAGAAGGCCUUCGGGUUGUAAAGCACUUUCAGCGAGGAGGCGUUACUCGCAGAAGAAGCACCGGCUAACUACGUACCAGCAGCCGCGGUAAUAC